AGUCAACGUUUGAUGGAGACAAAAUGUUGGAGCCUGCUCCUACCGGCAAAUAAACGGACUCAGGGUCUUCACGAAUAUGCAGCACAGCCAGCUGGGAUCCAGGCAGUCUGUUUUUGGUCUCAGCCUGGUUUCCCUCACUUCUUCGAUCAGGAAGUGCAGAAAGCACUAUCUCUGCUGCUCUGCAUCCCAGAGAUUCAUCCUCUGGAGACCCAGCUUCCUCUAUUGUUUCAGCACUCUGGGCAGGUUCUGUGAGAUAAGACAAAUCAAAGGGAGGUGUGUACGGUGCCAGCGACUGCUUCAGAGAAUCUUCCUCCAAAGGAGGGUCACCACCAUACAGGAAGUGUUCAGGCUCUCUCAGUAAAUCUUCAUCGAUAUUCUGGCCCAUUACAUCAUAUUCAAAAUCACCCCACGAGGCUUCAGAUGAGCAGAUAUCUUGCUUCCCUAGGUCCCCAUCAACUGGCGUUUCCGGAUGGCCUUCGGAUAAUGUCAGUUUACUCAUGUCAUCUAUUGUUCCCGUGGAUGUGUUGAGACCUGAGGCAUCGCUGAAACUGUGGUCAAAGGCAGCUUCGCUUAUAUCCAGACAAGUGUCUGAGGCUAGCAAAGCAUCAGGAACCAAGGCAGGAUUCUCUGUGGAUAAAUGUGGAUCACCAUCAAACAAAGCUCUUGCACCAGGCUGACUUUCAGGAGAAAAGCUGUCUGAUAUCCAAGAACCGUCACCUUCUGGAGUUGGCUCUUGUUCUGGAAGACGGAAAGUCCAAGAUCAAGAUCCUGACAUACUCGCUGUCUGAUGAGCACCUGCCUCCUGAUUCAUAGGCUGCCAUCUUUUUGCUGUGUCCUCACGUGACAGAAAAGCCUUCUCCAUCUCCUACACACUCUGAAAUAAUCUGUCAGAAGAUCCUCAUCCUGCCGUGCUGGCUUACUCUGGAUCAAGAGACAAAGACUCCAGCUCUAUCUCUGAUGGACCGAGUAGGAAGAAUCAGCAUGAGUCAACCCACCAGGUUUCCCAGAGCUUAAUCCAGAAGGGACCCAAACACUAGGGGAAAGAAGACAUGGGGAGUGUAGCAAGAUUUGUGUGCCGAUUCAUUACCAAGCCCAAAACCAAUUAUACUUAAGGAAGAAAAGGUGCUAAAUGAAGACUGCAACCCCAAAGCAUGCUACACGAACUCUCACAACUCAGGAACCCUCCUCAAGAACUGCAGUCUUGGCCAGGCACGGUGGCUCACGCCUGUAAUCCCGGCACUUUGGGAGGCCGAGGCAGGCAGAUCACCUGAGGUCAGGAGUUCGAGACCAGCCUGACCAACAUGGUGAAACCCCAUCUCUACUAAAAAUACAAAAUUAGCCAGGCAUGGUUGGCACAUGCCUGUAAUCCCAGCUACUUGGGAGGCUGAGACAGGAGAAUCGCUUGAACCCAGGAGGCAGAAAAAAGAAAAAAGAGAGAGCUGCAGUCUUUUUCAUUUAGCCUCCUAUGAACAUAUGUCUAGGUCACAAAUCCUUUCCUUGUAUCCUCUGACCUUGUGGCGUCCUGUGUCCUUUUACUGUGCUCAGGCCUCCAGGUUGGAGUCAUGCAAAACCAUCUAAGAAACAACUGAGCCUUAGGAAAAGCUAGAAGAGCUUCUUCUACUAAAUGAUAAACAUCAAAGGCAGUCCAAGAGUUUUAAAGCCCAAAUGAGAAAGAAUGCCCCCGCUACACACACAUAGCACCCUACACUCACGUCACCUAAGGUUUAUAUCUUAAUGACUUCAUAAAAUAUGUUCAUUAUAAAACAUUUGUAGAAACUCACAAAAAAAAACCUAAUUCCCAGUUAAUUACUAUAUUAAAUGUAUUCCUUCUCAUCUUCUCUCUGUACUUCUAUGAGUGUUCUCUUUUGCAAUAGUGUGACCCUAUUACACAUAAUAUUUUUUAACUUCUCUUUUCAAAAUUAACAGCCCUCUAAGCAUUCUUUUCAACUUCUAAAAUUAAAUCUUGUUGUGGCCAUAGAUGACUUCUGUUUGCUUUUGUAACUCCAGCUGCCAGCCUACUGCUUUGCACACAGUAAGUGUUCAAUAACUAUUGAAAAAGUGAAUGUAUGAAUGAGUGAAUGAUGAUAACAUUUAACAGAUAUAGUAUUUCUUAAUACGGAUCUUCAUACUUUAGUCAAUCCUCUAUUGUUAGAGAUUAAAUUUAUAAUUAUUUAUUUUUUGUGGUAUAAAUAAAACUGCAGUGAAUACUUCAGAAGAUAAUUUUUGUAUCUAUCCCUAGUUAUCUCUUCAGGAUAAAUUCCUGGAUCUUAAAUUUCUGGGUCAAAGAAUAUAUUUUAAUGUUCACCAGAAAGUUAUAGAAAUUUACCUUCCCAUCCAUAAAAAUACCUAGUUUUCAAACCUUGUGUAUUUGAAC
ensembl:lncRNA PCA3 prostate cancer associated 3